UGUCACUGCCUGCGAAAGUAUGGCCGUCAUUGGAUACGCACAGCGUACAGCUGACUGCACUUCGUGGCAUUUGUAGCCACGUUGUUCGUUUAAAAUAGCAAGUACUGUGUAUUUUUGUCUUGAAUAAGUCAACAAUGCUGUGCUUUUAGCUGAACUUUCGAAGCCAAGAAGAGAGGGAAGCAGCAAGAAGAAGAAUAUGGCUGAUGAACUUCUGCAGAGCAAACUGGCAGAACACAAAAGCAACUGCAUUAUGUGGAAAUCACUUCACUCCAGACCAGUUUGAAACCAACAGAGCUUGUGGAGUGGUAAAACUUAAACCAAAUGCUGUGACAAACAUUCUUUGUCAUCAUAAGCCACCAGUGGGAUGUAAAGCUCCUUCUGAGAGAAACCUGUUGGCCCACUAGAGAAACAAACUGAGGAUACUGAGGUUGGAGAGCCUUCAAAUGUGACCAGUGACAUCAGUCCUCCAGAGAAUCUGGACGCAACAGGAGAUGAAGUCACCACUCUGAAGAACCUAGUACAACAGCUUUGGGCUGAAAUUUUAGCUUUGAAGAGAAAACUCAACUUCUCUCAGAAAGGGGGGAGACAAGAGUGUGUUUAGAAUAAGACAACUUUCUUGCCAGCCUGCAUGGUUUAUUUGGUGCAGAUCUGUUUGCAGUAUUAACAAAGGGGACAUGUAAAGGUAGCAAAUGGUCAGUGGAAUCACUCCAGAAAGGGCUGAGAAUUAAGACUAGCUUGUGGUUGUACAUGGUAGAAAAUAAAUUUCCGUUUCCUUCAGACAGAACCCUGAGAUGUAAUUUAGACCUGGUGUGCUGAGGGAGCUAAUGAGUUUCCUGAAAGUUAAGUUUGACCUCAUG